UACAGGGGGUGCAAACGUUGCUCGGAAUCAUUGGGCGUAAAGCGCGCGUAGGCGGCUACUUAAGUCGGAUGUGAAAGCCCCUGGCUCAACUGGGGAAGUGCACCCGAAACUGAGUAGCUUGAGUGCAAAAGAGGGCCGCGGAAUUCCCGGUGUAGAGGUGAAAUUCGUAGAUAUCGGGAGGAACACCGGUGGCGAAGGCGGCGGCCUGGGUUGACACUGACGCUGAGGCGCGAAAGCGUGGGGAGCAAACAGG
rnacentral:rRNA from 1 species